rnacentral:rRNA from 1 species
CCUACGGGGGGCAGCAGUGGGGAAUAUUGGACAAUGGGGGGAACCCUGAUCCAGCCAUGCCGCGUGUGUGAAGAAGGCCCUCGGGUUGUAAAGCACUUUCAGUGAGGAAGAACGCCUGGUGGUUAAUACCCAUCAGGAAAGAUAUCACUCACAGAAGAAGCACCGGCUAACUCCGUGCCAGCAGCCGCGGUAAUACGGAGGGUGCGAGCGUUAAUCGGAAUUACUGGGCGUAAAGCGCGCGUAGGUGGCUUGAUAAGCCGGUUGUGAAAGCCCCGGGCUCAACCUGGGAACGGCAUCCGGAACUGUCAAGCUAGAGUGCAGGAGAGGAAGGUAGAAUUCCCGGUGUAGCGGUGAAAUGCGUAGAGAUCGGGAGGAAUACCAGUGGCGAAGGCGGCCUUCUGGACUGACACUGACACUGAGGUGCGAAAGCGUGGGUAGCAAACAGGAUUAGAUACCCCGGUAGUC